rnacentral:piRNA from 1 species
UAGUGAAUUCCUAAGGAUGAGAUCCCAAAC